rnacentral:rRNA from 1 species
CAAACUGGGAUUAGAUACCCCACUAUGCUCAGCCUUAAACCUAAGUGAUUAUAACAACAAAAUCACUCGCCAGAGUACUACUAGCAACAGCUUAAAACUCAAAGGACUUGGCGGUGCUUCAUACCCCCUAGAGGAGCCUGUUCUAUAAUCGAUAAACCCCGAUCAACCUCACCAACCCUUGCUAAUUCAGUCUAUAUACCGCCAUCUCCAGCAAACCCCUAUAGGGAUCAAUAGUAAGCUUAACUAUUCAAACAUAAAAACGUUAGGUCAAGGUGUAACCGAUGGGAUGGGAAGAAAUGGGCUACAUUUUCUUGUCCUAAGAAAAUCUCAAAAUACUUACGAAAGCCCCCAUGAAACUGAGGGCCCAAGGAGGAUUUAGUAGUAAAUCAAGAACAGAGUGCUUGGUUGAACUAGGCCAUGGAGCACGCACACACCGCCCGUCACCCUC